GGGAGUCAGUGCAAGUGUAGCCACCGACCGUGGAGCACGCCACCGCUCCCGCCCAAACGCGCGAACCACGAACCUACAGUGGACCAGUGAACUGUUUUAGUGACGUGUGUAUACAAAUCGAGCUUCAAAAGUUAUGGACGAACAUUUUAAUUAGAUACCCGCCUUAAGUGAUAAAAGCGAACAAAAAUUUAAGUUCUCUCUAAACAAGUGCAGUGUAUAAAGUAUUAAAAAGUUUUAUUAAGUUACAAAGUCUUCAGUUGCUUCUCCAUUAAGAUACCACUUCGCACGGAUUUCAAUCAUGGAGCUCCCUACAAGCGUAGUGACGGAGCAGUCAAAACACACGCUCCCCAUACAAACGGACACCUAUUUAUAUAGUUGAGCAAACUUUUAAAAUGUAGUGUUAGUGUAUAAACUGUUCAGUGAUAAAAUGAGCUUAUAAGUUAAGUGGAUGUCGUCCGACAUGCCAUAUUACGGGUACAGGGAGGGCGGACCUGAGUCGGACUCUAGUGGGGGAUGUUCCGAGUCCGAAGGGGGGGAGUCGGACUCGGAGGGACUGAGUACA